rnacentral:rRNA from 1 species
UACAGAGGUCUCAAGCGUUGUUCGGAUUCAUUGGGCGUAAAGGGUGCGUAGGUGGCGCUGUAAGUCGGGUGUGAAAUUUCGGAGCUUAACUCCGAAACUGCAUUCGAUACUGCGGUGCUUGAGGACUGGAGAGGAGACUGGAAUUCAUGGUGUAGCAGUGAAAUGCGUAGAGAUCAUGAGGAAGACCAGUGGCGAAGGCGGGUCGUCUGGACAGUUCCUGACACUGAGGCACGAAGGCCAGGGGAGCAAAACGGG